ACGGGUGAGUAACACGUGGGUAACCUACCCAUCAGAGGGGGAUAACACUUGGAAACAGGUGCUAAUACCGCAUAACAGUUUAUGCCGCAUGGCAUAAGAGUGAAAGGCGCUUUCGGGUGUCGCUGAUGGAUGGACCCGCGGUGCAUUAGCUAGUUGGUGAGGUAACGGCUCACCAAGGCCACGAUGCAUAGCCGACCUGAGAGGGUGAUCGGCCACACUGGGACUGAGACACGGCCCAGACUCCUACGGGAGGCAGCAGUAGGGAAUCUUCGGCAAUGGACGAAAGUCUGACCGAGCAACGCCGCGUGAGUGAAGAAGGUUUUCGGAUCGUAAAACUCUGUUGUUAGAGAAGAACAAGGACGUUAGUAACUGAACGUCCCCUGACGGUAUCUAACCAGAAAGCCACGGCUAACUACGUGCC
rnacentral:rRNA from 1 species